AUUGAACGCUGGCGGCAUGCUUUACACAUGCAAGUCGAACGGUAACAGGGUAAGGGGUUCCUCCGAGGGGCGACGGGGGGCGUAAUGGUUCGGAAUAUAUCCGAAGCUGGGGGAUAAUGGGGGGAAACGUAGGCAAAUACACGCUGUGACCGCAGACGAACUGCGGGUGACAGAAGGGGAUUGUUUGACCUCGCGCGUUUGAAUGAGCCGAUGUCGGAUUAGCUAGUUGGCGGGGUAAAGGCCUACCAAGGCGACGAUCCGUAGCUGGUCUGAGAGGACGAUCAGCCACACUGGAACUGAGACACGGUCCAGACUCCUACGGGAGGCAGCAGUGGGGAAUUUUGGACAAUGGGCGCAAGCCUGAUCCAGCCAUGCCGCGUGCGUGAAGAAGGCCUUCGGGUUGUAAACCGCUUUUGUCAGGAACGAAACGGUGCCCGUUAAUACCGCGCGGUUAUGACGGUACCUGAAGAAUAAGCACCGGCUAACUACGUG
rnacentral:rRNA from 1 species